rnacentral:rRNA from 1 species
CCUACGGUGGCAGCAGUGGGGAAUAUUGGCCAAUGGGCGAAAGCCUGAUCCAGCCAUGCCGCGUGUGUGAAGAAGGCCUUCGGGUUGUAAAGCACUUUCAGUGGGGAAGAAAGCCUUGGGGCUAAUACCCUCGAGGAAGGACAUCACCCACAGAAGAAGCACCGGCUAACUCCGUGCCAGCAGCCGCGGUAAUACGGAGGGUGCGAGCGUUAAUCGGAAUUACUGGGCGUAAAGCGCGCGUAGGCGGUCUGAUAAGCCGGUUGUGAAAGCCCCGGGCUCAACCUGGGAACGGCAUCCGGAACUGUCAGGCUAGAGUGCAGGAGAGGAAGGUAGAAUUCCCGGUGUAGCGGUGAAAUGCGUAGAGAUCGGGAGGAAUACCAGUGGCGAAGGCGGCCUUCUGGACUGACACUGACGCUGAGGUGCGAAAGCGUGGGUAGCAAACAGGAUUAGAUACCCCAGUAGUC